GAUGAACGCUGGCGGCGUGCCUAAUACAUGCAAGUCGAACGCUGGAAAUCUAGCUUGCUAGAUUGAAGGAGUGGCGAACGGGUGAGUAAUACAUAAGCAACCUACCCACGAAGACUGGGAUAAUCUCUGGAAACGGGGACUAAUACCGGAUAGGUAAUCGGAAGGCAUCUUCUGAUUAUUAAAGGUUAAAAACACUGGUGGAUGGGCUUAUGGCGCAUUAGUUAGUUGGUGAGGUAACGGCCCACCAAGACGAUGAUGCGUAGCCGGCCUGAGAGGGUGAACGGCCACAUUGGGACUGAGACACGGCCCAGACUCCUACGGGAGGCAGCAGUAGGGAAUUUUCGGCAAUGGGGGAAACCCUGACCGAGCAACGCCGCGUGAGUGAUGACCGCCUUCGGGUUGUAAAGCUCUGUUGUAAGGGAAGAACGGUAGAUAGAGAAUAUCUAAAUGACGGUACCUUACCAGAAAGCCACGGCUAACUACGUG
rnacentral:rRNA from 1 species